rnacentral:tRNA from 1 species
GGGGUUGUAGUUAACUAUAAUAUUUGAUUUGCAUUCAAAAGGUGCUUUUUUGAGCCUUCCUCA